rnacentral:lncRNA from 1 species
AUGUGCACAUGCAUAACCACGGACCAAAAUCUAACUGAACAAGAUCCACUUAACAGGGGGAGGGGAGGGGAGGGGAGGGAAAAUGGGGUUUUUUUUGCCUGAUAAUAGUCUUUCCAAUUUGGAAAGACAUGGAGGGGAGGGGAGGGAUGGGGAGGGAUUUUUAACUCGGGAACACACCCUUAGUUCUAAACCAAACUUUGAACCAGAAUUAUAAUUUUACACAAUAUUCAUAAUUAUAAAGUUGGAGCUUCAAAAGUUGGUUAUGUUUUAGAUAUUAAUAAUAACAUGUUCUAAAUCUACUAACACCAUUAUAUUUUAAAUAUAUGUUUACAGUGAAUCUACUUAAGAAUGGGAAGGGGACUGUCCUCACAGUCAAAACGAUGUAGUAUCUUUUGGUCUUGGUUAACCGAGUUAUAACAAGACGAACCGAACCCACCUUAAAAACCGAUUUAACUAAAAUGGAUAGGAUAACAUUCUUCAAUAAUCGAAAAUUUCAAUUUCAGUUAGGUGGUAGGAGUUCAAACUGAACCAGCCACCAGUGGGUACCGGUACUGAAUUUUUUCAGUAACGGUACCGGUACCCACUUUUUGGCAUUUUCGAUACCGGUAAAAUACCGAAUUUUACCUUCAAAUACCGGUAGCGUACCCGUCUAGUACCGAAUAUUUCGAUACUGGUAUUUUCAAUACCGGUACCAGUUCGGUACGGUACCAAUACCACGCUCAUCCCUAGCCAGUACACACUCCUGCCUCUUAACCUUUAAAAAAGUAGAAAAACACUUAAAAAUAAGGGAAAAUUACAAAACUGGUCAUUUAACCGGUAUGGGAGACGUCUCCGUCCGGCAAUAUCUCAUGCCACGUCUCUGGCCACGAGUCCAUUUUUUGGGUUUCAGUGACGUCUCCCGUGCAAGAUGCAUCGCUUCAAGGACACGUAAUUUUCCCUAAAAAUAUAAUACAAGCAAUGUUUUCAUAACCAGACCUUAAAAAAAAGUGAAUUAAAUUAAACAAUAAAGAGUAUAAAAGAGGCUCAGAUCUGUAAAGAAUCAGAACAAAGAGGAUAAAUCCGCCAUGGCUGCAACUCUCUCGGCUGAAUCAAUGGUAGAUUUCUACCACAACACAGCCGGAGAAUCGCCCCGCCAAGUUACGGAGCAUCUCAAACUUUGCUGAUUUACUCAUACAACAAGAAAUUCAUCAUCACCGCCUCAUCUUAGGCUCGUUUAUAUAGCUUUAAACGAUGAAAGUAAGGAACACAGAUUAGAGCGCUGCCAUUAAACACACGAGAGCACUCGAUACUAACUGAAAGUUUCUCAACCGAAAUCGAGACUCUGGCCAAAUCACAGGAACCAAAACAGUUUUUUUUUUUUUUUUUUUUUUUUGAACGGCUU